AGAGUUUGAUCCUGGCUCAGGAUGAACGCUAGCGGCAGGCCUAACACAUGCAAGUCGAGGGGUAACAGGGAAGAGCUUGCUUUUCCGCUGACGACCGGCGCACGGGUGCGUAACGCGUAUGCAACCUACCUUCUACAGGGGGAUAGUCAAUAGAAAUGUUGAAUAAUACCCCAUACGAUCUUUGAAUAGCAUUAUUUAAAGAAGAAAGCUCCGGCGGUAGAAGAUGGGCAUGCGUCCUAUUAGUUAGUUGGUAAGGUAACGGCUUACCAAGACUACGAUAGGUAGGGGCCCUGAGAGGGGGAUCCCCCACACUGGUACUGAGACACGGACCAGACUCCUACGGGAGGCAGCAGUGAGGAAUAUUAGACAAUGGGCGAAAGCCUGAUCUAGCCAUGCCGCGUGCAGGAUGACGGCCCUAUGGGUUGUAAACUGCUUUUAUACAGGAAGAAAAAACUCUACGUGUAGAGUCUUGACGGUACUGUAAGAAUAAGGAUCGGCUAACUCCGUGCCAGCAGCCGCGGUAAUACGGAGGAUCCAAGCGUUAUCCGGAAUUAUUGGGUUUAAAGGGUCCGUAGGUGGACAAUUAAGUCAGAGGUGAAAUCCUGCAGCUCAACUGUAGAAUUGCCUUUGAAACUGGUUGUCUUGAGUCAUUAUGAAGUGGUUAGAAUGUGUAGUGUAGCGGUGAAAUGCAUAGAUAUUACACAGAAUACCAAUUGCGAAGGCAGAUCACUAAUAAUGUACUGACACUGAUGGACGAAAGCGUGGGUAGCGAACAGGAUUAGAUACCCUGGUAGUCCACGCCGUAAACGAUGGUUACUAGCUGUUCGGACUUCGGUCUGAGUGGCUAAGCGAAAGUGAUAAGUAACCCACCUGGGGAGUACGUUCGCAAGAAUGAAACUCAAAGGAAUUGACGGGGGCCCGCACAAGCGGUGGAGCAUGUGGUUUAAUUCGAUGAUACGCGAGGAACCUUACCAGGGCUUAAAUGUAGAGUGACAGGUCUAGAAAUAGAUUUUUCUUCGGACUCCUUACAAGGUGCUGCAUGGUUGUCGUCAGCUCGUGCCGUGAGGUGUCAGGUUAAGUCCUAUAACGAGCGCAACCCCUGUUGUUAGUUGCCAGCGAGUCAUGUCGGGAACUCUAGCAAGACUGCCAGUGCAAACUGUGAGGAAGGUGGGGAUGACGUCAAAUCAUCACGGCCCUUACGUCCUGGGCUACACACGUGCUACAAUGGUAGGUACAGAGAGCAGCCAAUGCGUGAGCAUGAGCGAAUCUAUAAAACCUAUCUCAGUUCGGAUCGGAGUCUGCAACUCGACUCCGUGAAGCUGGAAUCGCUAGUAAUCGGAUAUCAGCCAUGAUCCGGUGAAUACGUUCCCGGGCCUUGUACACACCGCCCGUCAAGCCAUGGAAGCUGGGAGUACCUGAAGUCGGUUACCGCAAGGAGCUGCCUAGGGUAAAACUGGUAACUGGGGCUAAGUCGUAACAAGGUAGCCGUACCGGAAGGUGCGGCUG
rnacentral:rRNA from 1 species